rnacentral:rRNA from 1 species
UACAGAGAGUGCAAGCGUUGUUCGGAAUUAUUGGGCGUAAAGCGCGUGUAGGCGGCUUUGCAAGUCGGGUGUGAAAGCCCUCGGCUCAACCGAGGAAGUGCGCCCGAAACUGCAGAGCUUGAGUACCGGAGAGGAUGGCGGAAUUCCCCAAGUAGAGGUGAAAUUCGUAGAUAUGGGGAGGAACACCGGUGGCGAAGGCGGCCAUCUGGACGGAUACUGACGCUGAGACGCGAAAGCGUGGGGAGCAAACAGG